UACGGAAGGCAGCAGUGGGGAAUAUUGCACAAUGGGCGCAAGCCUGAUGCAGCCAUGCCGCGUGUAUGAAGAAGGCCUUCGGGUUGUAAAGUACUUUCAGCGGGGAGGAAGGCGAUGCGGUUAAUAACCGCGUCGAUUGACGUUACCCGCAGAAGAAGCACCGGCUAACUCCGUGCCAGCAGCCGCGGUAAUACGGAGGGUGCAAGCGUUAAUCGGAAUUACUGGGCGUAAAGCGCACGCAGGCGGUCUGUUAAGUCAGAUGUGAAAUCCCCGGGCUUAACCUGGGAACUGCAUUUUGAAACUGGCAGGCUUGAGUCUUGUAGAGGGGGUAGAAUUCCAGGUGUAGCGGUGAAAUGCGUAGAGAUCUGGAGGGAAUACCGGUGGCGAAGGCGGCCCCUGGGACAAAGACUGACGCUCAGGUGCGAAAGCGUGGGGAGCAAACAGGAUUAGAUACC
rnacentral:rRNA from 1 species